CAGGUAUUGUGGUUAAUGCAGCAACAUGAAUCCUUGUAAAAAGGUUUCAGUUUUGUUGCCAGAAAGAAAGGGGAAAAACCCCUAUUAUUACAUUUUGGUACUGGCAAAGGAGGUCUAAUGAUGAGGACUCCUUAUGUUUACCUUUAUGCUGCAUUCGCCCAUUUUUUUUCUCCUGGCAAUAAGACGCCCUCUUGUGUAUUAAUUACAGAUUUGCAUUUUUUAUACUGAGAAAAAGGUACCGGUUUUUUGCUGUGAAAGUGAUUGCACUCGCUUUGUAGAACAUUGUUUUUUUUCUGAUAAGCAUUUGCCAUGCUUCUGCUGGAAAAUUGUGUUGUCGAAUUAAACCAAUUGGUACGAAUUCCAAACAAUUUUGCACUCGCACCUGCAUGCAGAGCACCAAACGAAGCCUGUCUGAUAUGGAAAACAGCUCAUUAAGUAGUCAUAUGUGUUGAAUAAGAGUUUUAUCACUGUAUAUGUAUCGGUCCUCGGCUUUUUCAUUUACCUUAUUCACGUUUUAUUUUGAGUGUAACUUACAUGAUUGUGUCAUUUGUAACGUGUUGGCAAUCAACGGUUUUGAUUCAUACAUUGAAAUUCAUGAACAAUUACAUUCUUCUUGGAGAUUCUUACAGGGAUAUGUACAUGUAAAGAAGCCUGCCGUUUUACUCCACAGCUGGAUGAGGGUAUCCUGGGAACUCGGGGCUAUUUGACCAUACUUCACCACGUUGGUCGGUUGGGGGCUGGUAGCUCAAAUGUCAUGCAGGGAUAUACACAGACGCAAUCCCAGACGAAGGCUUUAGCGAGACCCCCACACAGUAUCUAAACCCAGUCUGAUCACUUGAUUAAAGAUUGAUUGAGCGAGUUGUGUGCACACCAUGUGCGGCCAAUUUAUAGACUAAAUCGUGCAUUAACGGCGUGCCUGAGAGCAUUGUGGAUGCGUUCUGGUGUUAGGUCAACUAAUUCACUUAUUUAGCACACAUAGGAUACACCACAUCUCUUUUGUUGCUUGUUUUUUGUAAUUACAUUAGUCUUUUCUCCAACCCUGGCAUAAUAUACUAUUAGAAAAGGCGGUUUGUUUUGCUGUAGCAAUCUCCGCCAGUCAGUAGGAUUUCCCGUGCACGUGUGUCGCGUUAGCACUCUCCUUCGACAAGUCUAUGACGCUUUUUUUGUUUUAAUGUGCACAAAAUAGCACGUUUUUACUAUUGGGCAAAAUAUCACAUGUAGAUAUUCAGCGGAUCUUACACUUUCAAGCCGAAUACAGAGGUAAUGUUUAAAUUGAUGAUGUUAAUAAACUGGCACGUCUCUCUCCAUCUGUUUUCCGUCACUCUUUGUCUCUCCGUCUAUUAUUUCCCCCUGGACAUCCGAUUCCACCUGUGUCUCUGUGUUUCUCCUAUGUCCCCCUCUGUUACCCCAUGUCUUUCUCACUUUCUCUUGCUUCCGUCUCUGUGCCCCCCCCCCCCAUCUACUUUUCUGUCUUCCCUGUAUCUCGAUCUAUGUUUGCGUCUGCAUAAUCCGUCUGUCUCUGUACCCACUCAAGGUGUCUGCGCCUCUCACUCUCUCGUUCCCCUGUGAGUUCUGCCUUGUCUCUAACUACUGUUUGUGCACGAGGUGGCGGUAGUUGUGGAAAGCUCCUGUCGACUUCUAAUUUCCUCCCGUCCCCACCACCUUUGGCGCAGUGCUCAAAAUCCAGUUAUGGAUUCAAGCGAAUACGAAUACACACAAAGUGCUUCUCGCCACAAAUCAGCCACAAAUGAACCACAAUUCCUUGCCGGUCUCGUCAAGGAGCAUAAACCAUCAGGCGAAUUCUGGUCCUCAGCAUCGGCUUUUGGAUCGCCAUCGAACAAAGACGGUGGUCACUGCAUCGCGCACUUUCAGAUGAACUUCUGCCGACGACUGAAACGUUCUUCCUUCCGAUACUAGGAAGCCACUGGACCUAUGCACUUUAAAAUAUAGAUUGAAAAAUAAUUUCUUAGGGACCGCUUUGUGUUUAGUUUGUCCUUCCCGCUCACCUCCGAUUAGCACGGUCGGUUACAUACGGUGCGAAAGAAGUUCAAGAAUUACAUACAGCAGUUAGGAGAAAACCCAUUCAAUUGGAAGGCAGAGCGAAUAUUCAAUGCACAAUUACGAAAUCUGUCUCGCGUUAGUCGCGUAAGCGAUGCGUUUUAACGCGUGUAUGCCUGGGGCUACGCUGACAUAUAGUGGAGACUGCAAAAAUACUUGGCUUACGACUGACUCAUUGGACUCCAAGCGCACAGAGAAAUCCCACCUGUAUGGGUAUAAACGCGUCAGCUUAAUGCAUUUUUUCUCACAUUGAAUUUAACUGAAUCACCCAUGUUGAUUUUUUUGAUAGAUAUAUAUGUGUGGCGACCGUUUUGAGGUGUUUUUUGGAUUCCACACGGCGCUCUCGUGACGAAAUUUUUGUACAAAAUCGUGGCGCAUAAAUUUGACCACUAGACGGAGCCCUCGCACCGCGCUACGUUGAGCACGCGGUCACUCCGGUACACACACUACUUCAUCGGCACGGAGUUGUCGAAGACGAUUAAAUCUCACACGAGGGCCACAUGGGGUUGCAAUUAACGGGUUAAGCCCAACAAACACAAAGCGAGUCGCCGCUGCACUUGAAUCGCACGAAGGCGAAUCGGUUUUUUUUUGGGUGCAAUUUUCAACACCGAAGAGCCGGGCUUCGGUUGCAGGCAAUAAUGAGUGGGGUUGUUUCUCAUUAAGGCCACAGUUGAACACGUGCCGAUAAAUGCUGGAGGUCACAUCCCACUUACCCUUGUGCGUAGCAAUUUUAAACUCUCGUGCAGAUACAUGUCACCAUAACGCACAUGUAUAUAUCCCAUGGUAUUUUGAUUAAAAUUACCUUGCAGCAGGUCCUUCCCAUAAAAUUAGAUAUAUGUCAAGAACACCCAAAGUCCAUGUUGGCACGUGCCUGCGUUUGUGAAUCCCGAGGCUCUCGAUGCAGGCGUUGGGUGAUUGACAGCCUGUGGCGAGAGGCGUAGCGGAGCGAUCGAGUGCGCAGACGGUGCAACUGCACCGGAGGGGCCAACAUUCGCUCGGGGCAUUACGAAGAGGCGGGUGGAAAUUGGACUGGGGAGAACCCCGUUAAAUUCCCUGCACCAGGUCCAUGCCAACCACGGUACAUCAUCUCUCCACCUCUUUCCAUGUGGGUCCAGGCCAUAUACUUUACUUGGAGGUGCAACAUGAGGUGGCAAUAACUUGAUUGGUUUACAUUUCAGUAUGUGGCCGACAGCAGUGAAUUGUGUGAUACACAUCGGAAAUCUGUAGGUUAGAAAAUAAUCCAGUCGUAUUAGCCGUAUAAAUACACCAGUGCAACUCAAGUUUUGCGACCUUAAGUGGUGUCAAUUUUUGCUUUGACCCAUGGACUACCCACGAUCUAUCUCCACUCUCUCCCCAAUGCCACUAUCACCUUCAUCCACAGCCACCGUCAAACCCAGCCGUAACAACAGUGCGGUGAGAUGGACACGGGGAGACGAUGAGAGAGGGAACAGGAAUCAUUCCAACAAUUAACCCUCGACUAACAGCACUUAUCCUUCUUUCGAGACUGAUCAGGGCAAAUGCCAUACACGCGCGCAAUGAGUAAGUGUUGCUCUCUCAGUCUCGUGUGCGCGCGCAAGUAAUUCGCCUGCCACGUGAAGUUGUACUCAACAUUGUGGAGACGCGGCUUGCUUAAUUACAUAAUCCGAUCAAGUGAGAUAAUGAGACACCGUCAUCUCGUCGCGUAGAGAGCGACGCCACACGCGCAGUCCCCACCCCACCCCCUUUUUUAACCAGUUAAAUCGUGAUACCAAUAGUAAUGCUCAGCUGUUUGUUAAUCCGCUGCUGGAUGUUGUAUGUAUGUUCGCACCGCACGUAGCCAACGGUGCUAGUCGGAGGUGCGUGGGAUAGGACAUGACACUAAACGAAAAGCAGUGAUAACGAAAUUAGUUUAAAAUCUAGAUUUAAAAGUACAUAGCUCCCGUGGCUUCCUAGCAUCAGAAGAGCGUUCCAGACGGCCACGGAAGCGCAUCUGAAAGCGUGCGAUGCGGUGACCGUAUUUGUUCGGUGGCCAGCCAAAAGCCGCUGCUGGGAGAAUAACGGGAGUUGGCGUGACGAUGUAUGCCCCUUGACGAGAUCAGCACGAUGGUGUUGUGGUUCAUUUGUGGAAAGCACUUUGUGUGUAACGAGGGCGACCUUAUAAUGAUUGUGGUUGAUACUUCAUCACGACGUAGCUCGGAGCGAGUUGGUGAGUCCAGGAUCAAGUCAAAUGUGUGUCCAGUAUCUGUAGUGGACUGCUUGUUUACCAAAAAAAGCCUCACCGAGCCUUAACUCUUUUUUUUCAGGAGGGUCCUGCCAAGUUUUAGCAGUAGGGGGCGGUGUUGCUACUGCGUGUAAUCCCAAUGGAGUGAUGUUCAGCAUUGGAAUGUUUGGCCAAUACCAGUUCCAUUUAUAUUAUCUAUAGGAGGAAACGAGAGAACCCGGAGGAAAUCCAUGCUCAACAGGGGGAGGGAACAUACAAACUCCACGCAGAAAGGCGGCCGAGUCGGGAAUCGAAGGCAGUAUAUUCUCGCUUUGAGGCACGGAUGUUCCCACUGCACCACACUGCCGCCAAAAUUCACUCGCCACUGGUGUUAGCCGUGGCCGGGAAUCGAACCCAGGUGUUCAGGUUCGUACAUUACUUCAAAGUGGGCCGACCGUGUUGAGAGAUCCUAUUCCUUCAUGUUUUCGCAUUUUAUUUUUCGAUUUAAAGCUUUCGUGACUGCACGGAUUCAUCUUCUUGGUUCUUUCGGUAAAGUCACGUAUAAUGAGAAAUAAAAUAAUACAAAUAAAGCAAUUAAAUAAAAUUCUCACGACGUUUCGGCCACAACACAAGUGGCCUUCUUCAGGUGAAGAGACAGGUUUGUCCAGAAGACAGAGCUUGAAUGAACAGUGUCAAGCGAGGACCGCGUCUUUUAAGCUGUGUGGGCGGAGUUAACAUGAAUUUGCAUGUUACAGCCCCACCGGAGCGGAGGAGGGGGGGCUAGGAACACGGACAAAGAAGAAAAACAGCCAAGAAGUCAACAUACAUACAGCGAGCAUCUGCCACAGAGACGGGAGCGGCAAAGUCAGCUCGAAUUAUUGCAUCACGGUACAAUGAGAGAUGGUGACAGCUUGGGGUGAGCCCUUCAUGGAGGGGUGGAUGGAUCGUGGCUUCUGAUUGAUGAUGAUGUAAAGCUAGCGAGGGGUUGCAGUUCCAGACGGUGAGGGGAGAUAGCAUGUUUGCCUAAAAAAACAUUUUAUUGUGUACAUUUUUAUUAAAGAAGACUUGAAACAACCGCUGGGUACAUUGAAUACAAUUUUACAUCGCGAGCGACAUAACACAAAUUUGUGAUCACUCCAGAUGCGCUCAAAUUAAACCAACCGACGUUCGCCUUCCAGAUUGUUACAACUAACCCCCCAAAAACAAGCAUUUGUUGCUAUACAGUAUUGUUAAUAUUACAUUUUAUAUAGUUUGUUCUUUUUUAAUAUAGCAUUGUAAUUAUGUAGAAAAAAGAGAAAAAUAACGCAUAACAACCGCUAUCAUACAACUCCACGUCGGUAUACAUUACACACUACAUCAUGUGUUACUUUCAGUGAGAUCUAAACGGCGCAAUUUCUGGUUUAUAAACCGCAGCAACUUAUUGAGGCCAGGUUUUUCGAAUGUGUGUGUACGUAUUUAUUUAUUAUUUUCGCCCCCCCCCCCCCCUUUCCCCAUCGCUCUGCUACCCACCCAGGCUAUAACAGCUCUAAAUGACUUCCACUGAUCUGGCUUGAAAGCACAGCAUGGGCAAAGUUGUUAACACAGCGGGCAGACGUGCAUCGAGCCACUGUCAGAGCCACUCAAAACCAGUGGAAGCCACGGGGGCAGGCGGGCGGGCACAUUUAUCAAUCGGCAAAAUGUACGGUCACAUGUGGCCCACGUGGCGGGUAGGCAGCAGGGGUGUCCCGUGGGACCCACAGAGUCUUAGGUGGCAGGGGAAUGAAUUUUGCCGAGAGUCGAUUUUUAGGUUAAACAUUUAUUUUUUAACUCCUCUCAUGCAUCGUGUCCACUGUGGUGGACCGACUGCUGUGAUUUAUAUGACAGGUAUGAAAUGAUAUUGAUUUUUUUUCUCAAACACAUUCUGUGGGUGUUUCCUCUGACUCCAGAUAUCGCAUUAACAUCACAGAAAAUUUGAUUUUUUUCUUUGCCACAAAUUAUGUAUGUGAAAGUGUUAAAUUCGCGACGUAGCAGCCAACAGAGGCAUGAAUUGUACACACAAUGUAUUUACACUGUAUGUACAGGGACAUGGAAUAAUGUUGUUUACAUAUGCAUUUUAUUGUAUGUUUGUUGAUGUGUAUGUUGUUUGCAUUGUGCGUUCGUAUGCAAUGGCUGGGGUCCACAAUUUUUGGGUCCAAUACGGGUCUCUAAAAAUUCUAAAACCACCGUUUUAGUAAGAUGUCUUGGCAUAUUUUGAAUCUUAAGUUAGUCGUCCAAAUCCCUCUCUUCAUGACUAGGCCAAAACGCAUUGCUUUGGCAUCGGUACUUGUUUUUGAAAAUCUGGCAGAAUGUACAUUGUCAACAUGGGAAUCUGGAUCCCACUGUAGAUGUAUUUGUCGUUAUUGUUCAUAAUAUGAAUGUAACCUAAUCGCCCCAACUUGAGUUGCUGUAUAUGUUGAUGCCUAUGGUGGCUCUGCACAACACUCCCACACGUGGUACAUGCACCUUCAUCAGUGGCAGCAGAACAAAGUGCACAUAUCCACACCCGGCCAGCUUUCUUGGGACGUCUGAAUUCCCACGAUGACAUUUUAUACCACCGUUCUUCCUUCUACUGGAACAAAAAAAAUACGUGGCCAUCGAUGUAUGCAUGUAUAUACUGUAUGGGACAGAGGGCACAUACCUCCCCCUGGUUAAUUUGCACCCUGACAAUUCGUCCAGCGUGGAAGAGUUAGGUCAAGAUACAGUCUGGAGGAGCUAUCUGGAGUUCCGGCUAGUUGAGGUCCUUCCCGCCUCAUCAGCAGUGGCAUGAGCAAGCAACUGUAAGGGUGCACCUUUACCUCUUGAAUUCCCCUACCCGGACAAUAUGCCAAAGGCAUUGGAACAUUUCCUAUAGCAGUCGUUACUCUGGACGGCUACAACACUGGGUGCUUCUUGUGUCUCUCCUCUCAAAUUACAAGGUGCUGGAAAGCUUAAUUGGGGGGUUUUCUCCUAACUUAAUCGCUGAAGGUCCGAUGACAUUCAUUCAUUAAAUAACGUAUAUCUAUUUUGACCAUGGUUCGUUAAGCUGCACUUCCAGAGUACCCUUAUAAUUUUUGUGAAUAUUCACAUGGGUUGACGUGGGUAAAGUGGACUUGGCCACAGUAAAAUCAAGUGCUGAAUGGGGUUGUUAUUUGCCAUCCUUUACCCUGAUAUAUCACAAACCCUGCUAAUUUCAGAGGCGUUUGUGGGCCCCCAAUUCCCAGAAGCGUUCUGCGCUCGUCUAUAGAAUCAACCACUUGUGUUUACUUAAACAGCUCAAUCUUUAUGUCGGGGUUGAAAGAAAUGAAAAUGAUGUGCUUGGUUUAAUAAAUGUUUGGAUCUUC